rnacentral:rRNA from 1 species
UACGUAGGGGGCUAGCGUUGUCCGGAAUCAUUGGGCGUAAAGCGCGUGUAGGCGGUCCGGUAAGUCCGCUGUGAAAGUCGGGGGCUCAACCCUCGGAUGCCGGUGGAUACUGUCGGGCUUGAGUACGGAAGAGGCGAGUGGAAUUCCUGGUGUAGCGGUGAAAUGCGCAGAUAUCAGGAGGAACACCAAUGGCGAAGGCGGGCUACUGGGCUGAUACUGACGCUGAUGCGCGAAAGCUAGGGGAGCGAACGGG